rnacentral:tRNA from 1 species
CCUUGUAUAACUAAUUUAAGUGUUGGAUUCUUACUUCAAUAAUGUGACUUCACUGCAGGGU